GACGAAGGGGGCUAGCGUUGUUCGGAAUUACUGGGCGUAAAGCGCGUGUAGGCGGUUGCCCAAGUCGGGUGUGAAAGCCUUGAGCUCAACUCAAGAAAUGCACUCGGUACUGGGUGACUAGAGGACCGGAGAGGAUAGUGGAAUUCCCAGUGUAGUGGUGAAAUACGUAGAGAUUGGGAAGAACACCAGUGGCGAAGGCGGCUUUCUGGGCCUUACCUGACGCUGAGACGCGAAAGCGUGGGGAGCGAACCGG
rnacentral:rRNA from 1 species